UAAGGUGGUCUUCCUAGUGGGAAGUGA
rnacentral:piRNA from 1 species